AUGCUCUUGAAGGAAUCAGUAAAGACUAUAGGCUGUGAGAAAGGGAACCCGAGGCCACGUUCAUGCCUAUCUCCAGGUUUUACCUGCUGUUCCUAUUUUGCCUCUGUGUUCCCUGGACACCACCAUUCCAGUGCAAGAUUUCCGGGGUUGAAUUCAUUUUCAGCAAAAGUUCUCAGAAGUGCUCUGACUGGCAUGGGACCAAGAGGCCACAUGCAGAUUUUAAGUUCUGUCACUGGGGUUUUGGGCAGUUGCCAUUCUGAGGAGGAGCUGAAGAGCACUGCUCUGCCAAAGAAAAAGAAGCUGGGAGAUGAAUCACUGAGUGGUUACCCAGAACAGAGAAUGUUGUCUGCAUUCAUCUAUCUUCCAUUCAAUCUCCCUUCAGAAAGACUAUUAUGGUCACCAAGAGGCAUCCUCUGUUGUCUGCUAAGCCAGCCUGCCUGCCAGAAUCAGAAGAGGAACCUCCAUGUGGGGUUCAUAUUAUGAAAAAGAAGUAAGAGAAGAAAGGCAGGGCAGAUGGGGA
rnacentral:lncRNA from 1 species